ensembl:snRNA U6 U6 spliceosomal RNA
GUGCUCACUUUGGCAGCAGCACAUAUACUAAAAUUGGAGUGAUACAGAGAAGAUUAGCAUGGCCCAGCGCAAGGAUGACAUGCAAAUUUGUGAAGGGUUCCACAUUUUU